CUAACACGGGAUGGCGAGCCUCAAAACCGCCAUCUUGUGUUAGAUCCUACAUAGCCGUGUAAUUUGGUGUUUGCUGGUCAGCGUCAAUUUCGAUUGUCAUAAAAAGGUCAGAGGGAUGUGGCUCUUUCGGGAGUGUUAUAACCUUUGGCGGAAUGUGGCGAUCGGGAUUGAGGUUUGCACGAUUAUAGUUUCCUGGUCUCUCAUCGACGUCUG
rnacentral:rRNA from 1 species